AGGACGAACGCUGGCGGCGCGCUUAACACAUGCAAGUCGAGCGAGAACCAGUCCUUCGGGACUGGGGACAGCGGCGAACGGGUGAGUAACACGUGGGUAAUCUGCCCUCGAUUCUGGGAUAGCCCGGGGAAACCCGGAUUAAUACCGGAUAGCCUCUCGAGCUCUCGAGCUCUUGAGAAAAGGUAGCUUCGGCCUCCGAUCGAGGAUGAGCCCGCGGCGGAUUAGCUUGUUGGUGGGGUAAUGGCCUACCAAGGCGACGAUCCGUAGCUGGUCUGAGAGGACGAUCAGCCACACUGGGACUGAGACACGGCCCAGACUCCUACGGGAGGCAGCAGUGGGGGAAUCUUGCGUCAAUGGGCGAAAGCCUGACGCAGCGACGCCGCGUGGGGGAAGAAAGGCCUCGGGUUGU
rnacentral:rRNA from 1 species